rnacentral:rRNA from 1 species
UACAGAGGGGGCAAGCGUUAUUCGGAAUUAUUGGGCGUAAAGGGCGCGUAGGCGGCCUUGCAAGUGGCGGGUGAAAUCCCUCGGCUUAACCGAGGAACUGCCUGCCAGACUGCAAGGCUCGAGACCGGGAGAGGUGAGUGGAAUUCCCAGUGUAGCGGUGAAAUGCGUAGAUAUUGGGAGGAACACCAGUGGCGAAGGCGGCUCACUGGACCGGAACUGACGCUGAGGCGCGAAAGCGUGGGGAGCAAACGGG